GGAUCCUCUAAGCUGAUUUCAACUUCUGUGAUUAAGGUUGUCACGUUGCCUCCGUGUUGGGAAAGAGACAAAGGUUUUCUGGAAGGAUUCCUUCGUUGAUAAAGAUGUAAGCUGUUUUCCUGGGAAGGGAAGAACAAGUUGGCACUAGUGGACCUGCCUGAAGGGGUUUGGCGCCUUCCGUGAUGACAAGCUCUUUGGCGGCAUCUACACAGCACAAGCGUGGAGACCUGGUGUGUAGCCGCCGGACCCGAAGGCAGGCUCCUUCCUGGAUGAGUAGGCGAGGAUGGCAGCGUUGUCUUUGGAGCCAGGAGGCCAG